rnacentral:rRNA from 1 species
GGGAUAGAAUUCCAGGAGUAGCGGUGAAAUGCGUAGAUAUCUGGAGGAAUACCAAAGGCGAAGGCAGUCCCCUGGUCCGAUACUGACACUGAGGUACGAAAGCGUGGGGAGCAAACAGGAUUAGAUACCCUGGUAGUCCACGCCCUAAACGAUGUCGAUUAGCCAUUGGAAGGACCCCUUUUCCUUUCAGUGACGUAGCUAACGCGUUAAAUCGACCGCCUGGGAAGUACGACCGCAAGGUUAAAACUCAAAGGAAUUGACGGGGACCUGAACAAGCGGUGAAUGAUGUGGAUUAAUUCGAUGCUACGCGAAGAACCUUACCUACCUUUGACAUGGCCAAAGUUCUACCGAGAGGCGGAAGUACUCGUAAGAGGAUUGGCGCACAGGUGCUGCAUGGUUGUCGUCAGUUCGUGUCGUGAGAUGUUGCGUUCAGUCCCGCAACGAACGCAACCCUUAUCUUUAAUUGCUCCUAUUUUAACAGGCACUUUAAAGAAACUGCCAAUGAUAAGUUGGAGGAAGGUGGGGAUCACGUCAAGUCCGCAUGGCCUUUAUAGGUAGGGCUUCACACGUCAUACAAUGGUUAGAACAAAGAGCUGCAAAUUCGUAAGAAGGAGCCAAUCUCACAAACCUAACCUCAGUUCGAAUUGCGGUCUGCAACUCGAGCGCAUGAAGCCGGAAUCGCUAGUAAUCGUGGAUCAGAAUGCCACGGUGAAUACGUUCUUAGGUCUU